GCUGUAUUCAUUCAGUAUGAUCCCUUGAUUGUUUCGAACAAUUGUAUAUAAAAAUAUACAAGGUGCAUUAAAAUCGCCAUCAUCAUCAUAUAUAAUGAUUACUUUUCUCGCAAUUUGCCUCACAUUAAUAAUUUCUACAAUCAUCGCGAUACAAUCAUUCUCGUUUUUUCCAUUUACAUUCUCGUUGAAAUUGUGUUCUUGCGAGGCAAUCUUUCGUUAAAAUAAAUUCGGCUGAGUUUCACGAAAUUGAACUUUGUACAAAUACCGUGGAUGUGUGCGUUCCAACAAUGCUGCAAUUAAUCGUGCCGCGACAGAUUAUUUAUAUUAAACGAAUUUGCUUUUCGCCGCUUGAACCCGUAGAUUUCAUUUCGAGAUAAGUGAAAAUCUCUCAUCGGUACAAUUGAAAUAUUUGUUUGAGCGUGGUUGAAAUGUGAAAUUUAUUCGCGUCGUAAGUAUGAAAUAUCGUGAGUGUAAUGAAACAAAGUGGAAUCAACGGAGCACAAUGAAGAACGGAGACAGGACGCUUCUGAGUGACGGAUGCGAAACGAUACGGUUGCGAACGAUCCGGGAUGCAGUGGGGCGGCGGCGGAGACUUUCGUCAGAAGACCUGACUGGACAUCGAUAGAUAUCAACAAUCUGCAUUGAGAUUCAAUAGAGCAGACGCAGUCACGCGACUCUAGGGGGUGCGAUGCCUGAAGAAUGCCGUGCCGGAGGAUUCGGCUCGGGCCUAUCUGAGUCGGCUCGAAGAGACGAAACACAACCAGCCGACUCUUAGGGGCUGCUGCGCCAGAGGAUCUGGCUCGGGCCAAG